GCCGGUGUGGUGGAAUGGUAGACGCAGCGGAUUCAAAAUCCGCCGGUGGCGACACUGUGUGGGUUCGAGUCCCACCACCGGCACCA
rnacentral:tRNA from 1 species